CCGCUGCCUAAGAGAAGAGCCGGGCCGCCGCCGCCUCUGCAGCCCGCGGGUACCUGGGCGGUUGCCGCCGCCCGCGCGCGGCCCCCGCGGAGAGAUUGAGUCUGAGGAUCGUGCGGCUGGCUCCCCCCUAGUAUGGCCAAUGAAGAGGAUGACCCAGUCGUACAGGAGGCUUCGCCUGCGCUGAUGCCCUUCACUCCUCCCUAAGGCCUGGUGGUGGGAGAGAACAUGGUUCAUAUGAAGAGCCGGGAAGCAGGGAGAUCGACGUGUACUUGGCCAAAAGUCUGGCAGAGAAGCUCUAUCUGUUUCAGUACCCUGUGCGUCCAGCCUCGAUGACCUAUGACGACAUUCCACACCUCUCAGCCAAGAUCAAGCCCAAGCAGCAGAAGGUAGAGCUUGAGAUGGCCAUCGACACCCUGAACCCCAACUAUUGCCGCAGCAAAGGGGAGCAGAUCGCACUCAACGUGGACGGCGCCUGCGCGGACGAGAGCAGCACUUACUCCUCGAAGCUGAUGGACAAGCAGACGUUCUGUUCCUCCCAGAGCACCAGCAACACAGCCCGUUACGCUGCCGCGCUCUACAGACAAGGUGAGCUGCACCUGACGCCUCUUCAUGGCAUCCUGCAGCUGCGGCCCAGCUUCUCCUACCUGGAUAAGGCGGACGCCAAGCACCGGGAGAGGGAGGCGGCCAAUGAGGCAGGAGACUCUUCUCAGGAUGAGGCGGAAGAAGACGUGAAGCAGAUCACGGUGCGGUUCUCCCGUCCUGAGUCGGAGCAGGCCCGCCAGCGCCGCGUGCAGUCCUAUGAGUUCCUGCAGAAGAAGCACGCCGAGGAGCCCUGGGUGCACCUGCACUACUAUGGCCUGAGGGACAGCCGCUCUGAGCACGAGCGCCAGUACCUGCUGUGCCAGGGUUCCGGUGGGGUUGAGAACACUGAGCUCGUCAAGUCACCCAGUGAGUACCUCAUGAUGCUGAUGCCACCCAGCCCAGAGGAGGAGAAAGACAAACCCGUGGCUCCCAGCAACGUCCUGUCCAUGGCCCAGCUGCGUACCCUGCCCCUGGCUGAUCAGAUCAAGAUCCUGAUGAAGAAUGUGAAGGUCAUGCCUUUUGCCAACUUGAUGAGCCUCCUGGGCCCCUCCAUCGACUCUGUGGCUGUUCUGCGUGGCAUCCAGAAGGUGGCGAUGUUAGUCCAAGGAAACUGGGUCGUGAAGAGUGACAUCCUGUACCCCAAGGACUCCUCCAGCCCUCACAGUGGUGUGCCUGCCGAGGUGCUCUGCCGCGGUCGCGACUUUGUUAUGUGGAAGUUCACGCAGAGCCGGUGGGUGGUGAGGAAAGAGGUGGCCGCUGUGACUAAACUCUGCACGGAGGACGUGAAGGACUUCCUGGAGCACAUGGCCGUGGUGAGGGUCAACAAAGGCUGGGAGUUCAUACUGCCUUCCGAUGGGGACUUCAUCAAGAAACAUCCAGAUGUGGUCCAGCGGCAGCAUAUGCUGUGGACGGGCAUCCAGGCCAAAUUAGAAAAAGUGUAUAAUCUUGUGAAGGAAGGCUUGCCCAAGAAGCCAGAUGGACAAUCAGGGCCUGCUGCACUGCUCUCUGGGGACCAGCGGGUCCAGGCGGCCAAAAGCAAGGCCCAGCAGAACCACGCACUGCUGGAACGCGAGCUGCAGCGGAGGAAGGAGCAGAUGCGGGCGGCCGCGGUCCUGCCCGGCGUGCGGAUCAAGGAGGAGCCCAUAAGUGAGGGAGAGGACGAGGAAGAUCAAGACGCAGAGGAAGACGAGGAGCCCAUGGACACCUCUCUCGGUGGCGGCCUCCACGACAGGCUGGCCAACGGGUUGCCUAGCGGGCGGGCGGCCGGCGGGGACAGCUUCAAUGGGCACCCGCCGCCAGGCUGUGCCAGCACCCCCGUGGCCCGGGAACUGAGGGCCUUCGUGGAGGCCACCUUCCAGAGACAGUUCGUGCUCACGCUGAGUGAACUCAAGCGCCUCUUCAACCUGCACCUGGCCAGCCUGCCCCCCGGCCACACGCUGUUCAGCGGCAUCUCGGACCGCAUGCUGCAGGACACGGUGUUGGCCGCCGGCUGCAAGCAGAUACUGGUGCCUUUUCCCCCCCAGACCGCUGCGUCCCCAGAUGAGCAGAAGGUGUUCGCCCUCUGGGAGUCUGGAGACAUGAGCGAUCAGAUUUUACUUGAGAGAGAGCGAGAGAGCACAAGCAGGGGGAGGGGCAGAGGCAGAGGGAGAAGCAGGCUCCCCGCUGAGCAGGGAGCCCAACGUAGGACUCGAUCCCAGGACCCCGGGCAGAUGCCUCACCAACUGAGCCACCUUCCAGAGGAUUCUGCCAUCCAGCCGGGCUCAGGAACCAGUGACGGUCCACAUUUCUCAGGUGGCCUCUGGCACACCGACAGGUUUUGCUUGAAAUCUUUUCCAAAAAUUACCGGGUACGCCGGAACAUGAUCCAGUCACGGCUGACUCAAGAGUGCGGAGAGGAUCUGAGUAAACAGGAGGUGGAUAAAGUGCUAAAGGACUGCUGUGUAAGCUAUGGUGGCAUGUGGUACCUUAAAGGGACGGUGCAGUCUUGACAGUAGUCACAGACCACUAACCCAGUGAAUCCAAGCCCAAGGAAGGACGGCGGAGCCGGCAGACGUGGCAGUGGUCUCGCUGCUUCGGAAGACCCGGAGCAAGAGGAACUGACCGUGCCACGGCGGGGGCGGGGUGCUGUCUGGCGGCCAGCGGGGAUCUUCCUCAGCCAGGGGCAGGGUCAGCUGAAGUUCGAUCGCUCCCAGGACGGAGGGCAGCCGGGACCUUCAUUACAGUAUAAUUUGAAAUUCCUGAUGUAUUUUGCUUAUUAUUUGGUUCAUUCUCGUAAUAAAGAGAGUGUAUACUGACCACAGGCAGGCUGAUGAAAAUCAUGGUUUAAUAUUUUGCUUUUCAAACUUAAUGCCAACAAGGUCUAAGUUAUGUUUACAAGAUGAAGAAAACCUCAAGGUUUUAAAUAUUUAAAAUGCCUAGAAGUCAGUAUUUAGUCCUCAAUUACCUACCUGCUAAGACUUCUGCCAAUUUCAUUAAACAGACCAAAUCGAAUUGUUUCACUGCUGGGUUUCUGUGGCCACCUUACCUUUUAAGUCCAUUUUAUGUAGCAGUUUCAGCUGUUUACAUGAACCCUAGCAAAAAAUCAGAAUCAAAUCCAUUUAUUAACGUUUGCAUAAGGGUGCAAACCAAACCAGGUAAGUAUGGAACAAUGUAUAAGUGAGGUUAUCACACUUUGAUGUAAAAAAUUUAUAUUUUGUGUAUUUUUAAAAUAAAUACUAACACUAACCUGGCA